GAUGAACGCUGGCGGCGUGCCUAAUACAUGCAAGUCGAGCGAACGGACGAGAAGCUUGCUUUUCUGAUGUUAGCGGCGGACGGGUGAGUAACACGUGGAUAACCUACCUAUAAGACUGGGAUAACUUCGGGAAACCGGAGCUAAUACCGGAUAAUAUUUUGAACCGCAUGGUUCAAAAGUGAAAGACGGUCUUGCUGUCACUUAUAGAUGGAUCCGCGCUGCAUUAGCUAGUUGGUAAGGUAACGGCUUACCAAGGCAACGAUGCAUAGCCGACCCGAGAGGGUGAUCGGCCACACUGGAACUGAGACACGGUCCAGACUCCUACGGGAGGCAGCAGUAGGGAAUCUUCCGCAAUGGGCGAAAGCCUGACGGAGCAACGCCGCGUGAGUGAUGAAGGUCUUCGGAUCGUAAAACUCUGUUAUUAGGGAAGAACAUAUGUGUAAGUAACUGUGCACAUCUUGACGGUACCUAAUCAGAAAGCCACGGCUAACUACGUG
rnacentral:rRNA from 1 species